rnacentral:rRNA from 1 species
ACACACCGCCCCGUCGCUCCUACCGAUUGGGUGUGCUGGUGAAGCGGUCGGAUUGGCGUUAGUGGGCGGUUUUCCGCCUCCUCUCGCUGAGAAGUUCGUUAAACCCUCCCACCUAGAAGAAAGGAGAAGUCGUAACAAGGUUUCCGUAGGUGAACCUGCGGAAGGAUCAUUG